UUAGCAUUUGAGGUGAAGUUCUGUUAUACACUCAGACUGUGGCUCUCUGAAAGUCAGUGCAUCACAGAACUUUGUCUCGAAAGCUUU
rnacentral:pre_miRNA from 1 species